GAUGAUGAACGUAGCGAAAUGCGAUACGUAAUGUGAAUUGCAGAAUUCAGUGAAUCAUCGAAUCUUUGAACGCAUAUUGCGCUCUCUGGUAUUCCGGAGAGCAUGCUUGUUUGAGUAUCAGUAAACACCUCAACUCCCUUUUCUUUUUUGAAAUGGGAGCUGGACUUGAGUGAUCCCAACACUUUUCUCACUGGAAAGUGGCGGGUCACUUGAAAUGCAGGUGCAGCUGGACUUUUCUCUGAGCUAUAAGCAUAUCUAUUUAGUCUGCCUAAAAAACAGAUUAUUACCUUUGCUGCAGCUAACAUAAAGGAGAUGAGUUCUUGUGCUGACUGAUGCAGGAUUCACAGAGACAGCUUUGCGGCUGACUUUGUAAACUCGAUCUCAAAUCAAGUAAGACUACCCGCUGAACUUAAGCAUAUCAAUAAGCGGAGGA
rnacentral:misc_RNA from 1 species